UACGAAGGGUGCAAGCGUUACUCGGAAUUACUGGGCGUAAAGCGUGCGUAGGUGGUUUGUUAAGUCUGUUGUGAAAUCCCCGGGCUCAACCUGGGAAUGGCGAUGGAAGCUGGGCAGCUAGAGUGUGUCAGAGGAUGGUGGAAUUCCCGGUGUAGCGGUGAAAUGCGUAGAGAUCGGGAGGAACAUCAGUGGCGAAGGCGGCCAUCUGGGACAACACUGACGCUGAAGCACGACAGCGUGGGGAGCAAACAGG
rnacentral:rRNA from 1 species